UCAGUAACGGCGAGUGAAGCGGCAAGAGCUCAAAUUUGAAAUCGGGGGCUCGUACCCCGAGUUGUAGUUUGAAGGGCGGUCUUUGUGGACCGGGUUUGCAGCGAUGUUCCUUGGAAGAGGACGCGAGACAAGGUGAUAGCCCUGUAGCGGCAAGCCCAUACACGUAUAAAGGCCGCCCGAAGAGUCGAGUUGUUUGGGAAUGCAGCUCUAAGUGGGUGGUAAACUCCAUCUAAAGCUAAAUACUAGCGAGAGACCGAUAGCGAACAAGUACAGUGAUGGAAAGAUGAAAAGAACUUUGAAAAGAGAGUGAAAGAGUGCGUGAAAUUGUUGAAAGGGAAGGAUAUUAGGUGAGGCGGGGACGUGGGGUUCUGCGGCGUUUCUUGUGGACGCUGUGAUAUGCCCAUGUCCAGGCCGGUGUGGGUGGGGCGAGGGGGAUGAAGAUGCCUUUUGGGGAGUCUUACUUCCAGAGACAGAAAGCACCCCUCGGGCCCACCAUGGACAGACGACACCGACACAAUGACCUAACAUCGCCCGUCUUGAAACACGGACCAAGGAGUCUAACGUCUAUGCGAGUGUGUGGA
rnacentral:rRNA from 1 species